GCAAUAUGGAAUAUAUAUUGGUGAUUUUCCAACCUCUCGUAAAGAAGAGCAGCUGCGUAUUAUUGCGAAUAGGGUUGUCCUGUGAAUUUGUCGUCGCUCCCAAUUCCAACCGGGCAAGACUUUUGCCCUAGAUCGCAGCCAUGUCUUCCAAGCAAGGUGGAAAAGCUAAGCCCUUGAAGGCACCCAAGGCCGAUAAGAAGGAGUACGACGAGUCCGAUUUGGCCAACCUUCAGAAGAAAAAAGAUGAGGAGAAGGCACUGAAGGAGCUUAGAGCCAAGGCACAACAGAAGGGGUCAUUCGGAGGUGCUGGGCUCAAGAAAAGUGGGAAGAAAUGAGUGGAUUUAUCCAACCCCAAGCUGGGAUACAAUAUAUCGAUCUUGAGCUGUAAUUAUGAACUCGAUUGUGUCGACGUCUUUCAAUUUAUGCGAUGGUCUAGUUUCUAAUGUGCGCUAGAUCUAGCUUGAGUGAAUUUCAGUGUGUAACAUUAUAACCGAGUCUAAAUAAAUUGAGUUUGUCUAA